AUUGAGCAUUAUUGAUGAACACCUGAUGAUAACAAGCAGAAUCACUGAAGUAUUUAGUAGAAAGAAUAUUAUAAUAUACUAUAGUAAAAUUACUCAUGUGGAACACUCCCAUACACACACACACACACUCA